UGGGGAAUUUUGCGCAAUGGGCGAAAGCCUGACGCAGCAACGCCGCGUGGGUGAUGAAGGUCUUCGGAUCGUAAAACCCUGUCGUCAGGGACGAAGGUCGGUCGUUGAAUAGGCGAUUGGCUUGACGGUACCUGGAGAGGAAGCCCCGGCUAACUCUGUGCCAGCAGCCGCGGUAAUACAGAGGGGGCAAGCGUUAUUCGGAAUUAUUGGGCGUAAAGGGCGCGUAGGUGGUUGUGAAAGUCAGAUGUGAAAUACUUCGGCUCAACUGGAGAACUGCAUCUGAAACUUCAUAACUCGAGUACAGGAGAGGGAAACGGAAUUCCCGGUGUAGAGGUGAAAUUCGUAGAUAUCGGGAGGAACACCAGUGGCGAAGGCGGUUUCCUGGCCUGAUACUGACGCUGAGGCGCGAAAGCGUGGGGAGCAAACA
rnacentral:rRNA from 1 species